AUGAAGGAGUUGGGGCUGCGAGAGGAAGACCUAGAUGAUGUGGUUUUUGAUGCAAAGGAAGCACCGGCGGAAGCGGCUAGGUGGAUCGCGCUUGCGAAGGUGCACUCUACCAAAACCUACUCGCAGUACUGGUUCUUCCGGAACAUGAGAGCAGCCUGGGACCUUGCUCAGGAGGUGAAAUUCAAGCCACUGGAGGAAAAUCUCUAUACAGUUCAGUUCUCCUGCUUGGGGGAUUGGGAG
rnacentral:rRNA from 1 species